GAUGAAGAACGCAGCGAAAUGCGAUAAGUAGUGUGAAUUGCAGAAUUCAGUGAAUCAUCGAAUCUUUGAACGCACAUUUCGCCCCUUGGUAUCCCGAGGGGCAUGCCUGUUCGAGCGUCAUUUCACCACUCAAGCCUGGCUUGGUGUUGGGCGACGUCCCCUUUGGGGACGCGCCUCGAAACGCUCGGCGGCGUGGCACCGGCUUUAAGCGUAGCAGAAUCUUUCGCUUUGGAAGUCGGGGCGCCGUCUGCCGGAAGACCUACUCGCAAGGUUGACCUCGGAUCAGGCAGGGAUACCCGCUGAACUUAAGCAUAUCAAUAAGCGGAGGA
rnacentral:misc_RNA from 1 species